UAGUCCACGCCGUAAACGAUGUCAACUAGCCGUUUGGGACACUAAGUCCUUGGUGGCGCAGCUAACGCGAUAAGUUGACCGCCUGGGGAGUACGCCGGCAACGGUAAAACUCAAAGGAAUUGACGGGGCCCGCACAAGCGGUGGAGCAUGUGGUUUAAUUCGAUGCAACGCGAAAAACCUUACCUACCCUUGACAUCCUCAGAACUUGUUAGAGAUAACUUGGUGCCUUCGGGAACUGAGUGACAGGUGCUGCAUGGCUGUCGUCAGCUCGUGUUGUGAGAUGUUGGGUUAAGUCCCGCAACGAGCGCAACCCUCGCCCUUAGUUACCAGCAUUUAGUUGGGCACUCUAAGGGGACCGCUUGGCUAUAAGCCAGAGGAAGGUGGGGAUGACGUCAAGUCCUCAUGGCCUUUAUGUCCAGGGGCUACACACGUGCUACAAUGGAAAGGACAAAGCGCAGCUAACUCGCGAGAGUGUGCUAAUCG
rnacentral:rRNA from 1 species